rnacentral:rRNA from 1 species
UACGUAGGGGGCAAGCGUUGUCCGGAGUUACUGGGCGUAAAGCGCACGCAGGCGGUCUCUUAAGUUUGGAGUGACAGUUGGUGGCUUAACUGCCAAAGUGCUUCGAAAACUGAGAGACUUGAGGGCUUCAGAGGGACACGGAAUUCCGGGUGGAGUGGUGAAAUGCGUAGAGAUCCGGAGGAACACCAAAGGCGAAGGCCGUGUCCUGGGGAGUACCUGACGCUCAGGUGCGAAAGCCAGGGGAGCGAACGGG